rnacentral:rRNA from 1 species
GACGUAGGGCGCGAGCGUUGUCCGGAAUCAUUGGGCGUAAAGAGCGUGUAGGCGGCCCGAUAAGUCCGCUGUGAAAGUCCAAGGCUCAACCUUGGGAUGCCGGUGGAAACUGUCGGGCUAGAGUCCGGAAGAGGCGAGUGGAAUUCCUGGUGUAGCGGUGAAAUGCGCAGAUAUCAGGAGGAACACCAAUGGCGAAGGCAGCUCGCUGGGACGGUACUGACGCUGAGACGCGAAAGCGUGGGGAGCGAACAGG